AUGCAUUGGCAUGUAUCUUGAGAAUUGGGGCAAUUAAGGAGAGAAAGAAGAUGAGUUACACUUUGUUAUGCCAUCUCUUCCUCUCCACCUUUCAAAUAGUUUGAUUUUGGCAUUAACCAUUUUUGGGUAGUGUCGAAACAAACCGGCAAGUCACGAAACGGCGAAGGAGACUCACUCGAGUCUU
rfam:Helianthus annuus linkage group 17, whole genome shotgun sequence.